AUUGAACGCUGGCGGCAGGCCUAACACAUGCAAGUCGAGCGAGCGGCGCACGGGUGAGUGAUAUCUGGGAAACUGCGCGAUGGAGGGGGAUAACUACUGGGAACGGUAUCUAAUACCGCAUACCCUCGGAUGUGCCCCGAUGGGAUUAGCUAGAAGGUGGGGUAAAGGCUCACCUAGGCGACGACCCCUAGCUGGUCUGAGAGGAUGACCAGCCACAUUGUAACUGAGACACGGUCCAUACUCCUACGGGAGGCAGAAGUGGGGAAUAUUGCAUAAUGGGCGAAAGCCUGAUGCAGCCAUGCCGCGUGUAUGAAGAAGGCCUUCGGGUUGUAAAGUACUUUCAGCGGGGAGGCGUUACCCGCAGAAGAAGCACCGGCUAACUCCGUGCCAGCAGCCGCGGUAAUAC
rnacentral:rRNA from 1 species